rnacentral:rRNA from 1 species
AUUGAACGCUGGCGGCAGGCUUAACACAUGCAAGUCGAGCGAGCGGCGGACGGGUGAGUAAUGUCUGGGAAACUGCCUGAUGGAGGGGGAUAACUACUGGAAACGGUAGCUAAUACCGCAUACCAUCAGAUGUGCCCAGAUGGGAUUAGCUAGUAGGUGGGGUAAUGGCUCACCUAGGCGACGAUCCCUAGCUGGUCUGAUAGGAUAGACAGCCCAACUGGAACUGGGACACGGUCCAGAAUCCUACGGGAGGCAGCAGUGGGGAAUAUUGCACAAUGGGCCCAAGCCUUAUGCAGCCAUUCCGCGGGUUAUGAGAAGGCCUUCGGGUUUUAAAGUACUUUCAGCGGGGAGGCGUUACCCGCAGAAGAAGCACCGGCUAACUCCGUGCCAGCAGCCGCGGUAAUAC